rnacentral:misc_RNA from 1 species
GAACUGCGAUAAGUAAUGUGAAUUGCAGAAUUCAGUGAAUCAUCGAGUCUUUGAACGCACAUUGCGCCCCCUGGCAUUCCGGGGGGCAUGCCUGUCCGAGCGUCAUUGCUGCCCUUCAAGCCCGGCUUGUGUGUUGGGUCGUCGUCCCCUCCGGGGGACGGGCCCGAAAGGCAGCGGCGGCACCGCGUCCGGUCCUCGAGCGUAUGGGGCUUUGUCACCCGCUCGAUAAGGACCGGCCGGGCGCCAGCCGGCGUUUCCAACCUUUUUUUCUCAGGUUGACCUCGGAUCAGGUAGGGAUACCCGCUGAACUUAAGC